rnacentral:rRNA from 1 species
AGUGAACGCUGGCGGUAGGCCUAACACAUGCAAGUCGAACGGCAGCACAGGAGAGCUUGCUCUCUGGGUGGCGAGUGGCGGACGGGUGAGGAAUACAUCGGAAUCUACUCUGUCGUGGGGGAUAACGUAGGGAAACUUACGCUAAUACCGCAUACGACCUUCGGGUGAAAGCAGGGGACCUUCGGGCCUUGCGCGAUUGAAUGAGCCGAUGUCGGAUUAGCUAGUUGGCGGGGUAAAGGCCCACCAAGGCGACGAUCCGUAGCUGGUCUGAGUGGAGGAUCAGCCACACUGGAACUGGGACACGGUCCAGACUCCUACGGGAGGCAGCAGUGGGGAAUAUUGGACAAUGGGCGCAAGCCUGAUCCAGCCAUACCGCGUGGGUGAAGAAGGCCUUCGGGUUGUAAAGCCCUUUUGUUGGGAAAGAAAUCCAGCUGGCUAAUACCCGGUUGGGAUGACGGUACCCAAAGAAUAAGCACCGGCUAACUUCGUGCCAGCCGCCGCAGUAA